UACGGCUGUAUCAUGUUGAAACACAGGUUCCUGAACAAUCACCAAAGUUAAGCAAUGCUGAGCCUGGUCAGUACCUAGAUGCUUGACCGCUUGGGAAUACCAGGUGCU